rnacentral:lncRNA from 1 species
CAUUAGACAUUUUCCCUCAAACAUCCAGCUGUUUCUUCUAACUGUUUCCAGAGAACCUAGACAGAACCAGACAUCCUCCAAGAGAAAAGGUUCCAGCGUCACUGAAAAAGAGAAACAGCCCCUCCCUUUACCCCAGCUGGAGAGGCCUAACGUCUUCCAUGACUCUCAGCACACCUGCACAGUGGCGCUGUCUGCAGAAAGGAAGUGGAAACAUACAAUGCAUGGUGUCUACUGUCCAGCUUCUUUCACUGAGCAUAACGUUUUUGAGAUUCAUCCAGGCUGCAGCAUAUACCCGUCAUUCAUUCCUUUUUAUUGCUGAGUGGUAUUCUGACUUGGAUCGUGUGCUCGGCAAUGGUAGGAAUCCAGAGGAGGUUCUGAAGCAUGAGGGAGACU